rnacentral:lncRNA from 1 species
GCUCGGGGAGAGUCUGGAGAGAGCCCGGGAGAGCCCGGGAGAGUCUGGAGAGAGCCCGGGAGAGUCUGGAGAGAGCCCGGGGAGAGCUCGGGGAGAGUCUGGAGAG